UACGGAGGGGGCUAGCGUUAUUCGGAAUUACUGGGCGUAAAGCGUGCGCAGGCGGUUUUGUAAGUCUGUCGUGAAAUCCCCGGGCUUAACCUGGGAAUGGCAUUUGGGACUGCAAGGCUGGAGUACGGCAGAGGAGACUGGAAUUCCUGGUGUAGCAGUGAAAUGCGUAGAGAUCAGGAGGAAUACCGAUGGCGAAGGCAGGUCUCUGGGCUGAUACUGACGCUCAUGCACGAAAGCGUGGGGAGCAAACAGG
rnacentral:rRNA from 1 species